AGAGUUUGAUCAUGGCUCAGAAUCAACGCUGGCGGCGCGCCUAACACAUGCAAGUCGAACGAGAAAGUGGAGCAAUCCAUGAGUAAAGUGGCGUACGGGUGAGUAACACGUGGAUUAUCUGCCCUUUAGCGGGGAAUACCGUUGGGAAACCGACGACAAUACCGCAUAAGCUCGAGAGAGGAAAGCAGCAAUGCGCUGAAGGAGGAGUCCGCGGCCGAUUAGCUAGUUGGUAGGGUAAUGGCCUACCAAGGCUGUGAUCGGUAGCCGGACUGAGAGGGCACACGGUCACACUGGCACUGAAACACGGGCCAGACUCCUACGGGAGGCAGCAGUGGGGAAUCUUGCACAAUGGGGGCAACCCUGAUGCAGCGACGCCGCGUGAGCGAUGAAGCCCUUCGGGGUGUAAAGCUCUUUCGGCAGGGAAGAUUAUGACGGUACCUGCAGAAGCAGCUGCGGCUAACUACGUGCCAGCAGCCGCGGUAAUACGUAGGCAGCAAGCGUUGUUCGGAGUUACUGGGCGUAAAGGGUGCGUAGGCGGCUCUAUAAGUAUGGUGUGAAAUCUCCCGGCUUAACUGGGAGGCUGCGCUAUAGACUGUGGGGCUAGAGUGUGGGAGAGGAAAGUGGAAUUCCGGGUGUAGCGGUGAAAUGCGUAGAUAUCAGGAGGAACACCGGUGGUGAAAACGGCUCUCUGGACCAUAACUGACGCUGAGGCGCAAAAGCGUGGGUAGCAAACAGGAUUAGAUACCCCAGUAGUCC
rnacentral:rRNA from 1 species